AGCAGCCGCGGUAAUUCCAGCUCCAAUAGCGUAUAUUAAAGUUGUUGCAGUUAAAAAGCUCGUAGUUGAAUUUCGGGGUUAGUAGGUUGGUCAUGCCUCUGGCAUGUACUGGUCUCACUGAUUCCUCCUUCCUGAUGAACCGUAAUGCCAUUAAUUUGGUGUUGCGGGGAAUUUGGACUGUUACUUUGAAAAAAUUGAGUGUUUAAAGCAGGCUAACGCUUGAAUACAUUAGCAUGGAAUAAUGAAAUAGGACGUUCGGUCUUAUUUUGUUGGUUUCUAAGAUUGACGUAAUGAUUAAUAGGGAUAGUUGGGGGCAUUAGUAUUCAAUUGUCAGAGGUGAAAUUCUUGGAUUUAUUGAAGACUAACUACUGCGAAAGCAUUUGCCAAGGAUGUUUUCAUUAAUCAAGAACGAAAGUUAGGGAUCGAAGACGAUCAGAUACCGUCGUAGUCUUAACCAUAAACUAUGCCGACUAGGGAUCGGAUGAUGUUAAUUUUUAUGUAUCAUUCGCGCCUUACGGGA
rnacentral:rRNA from 1 species